rnacentral:rRNA from 1 species
GAUGAACGCUGGCGGCGUGCCUAAUACAUGCAAGUCGAGCGAACAGACGAGGAGCUUGCUCCUCUGACGUUAGCGGCGGACGGGUGAGUAACACGUGGAUAACCUACCUAUAAGACUGGGAUAACUUCGGGAAACCGGAGCUAAUACCGGAUAAUAUAUUGAACCGCAUGGUUCAAUAGUGAAAGACGGUUUUGCUGUCACUUAUAGAUGGAUCCGCGCCGCAUUAGCUAGUUGGUAAGGUAACGGCUUACCAAGGCAACGAUGCGUAGCCGACCUGAGAGGGUGAUCGGCCCCACUGGAACUGAGACACGGUCCAGACUCCUACGGGAGGCAGCAGUCGGGAAUCUUCCGCAAUGGGCGCAAGCCUGACGGAGCAACGCCGCGUGAGUGAUGAAGGUCUUCGGAUCGUAAAACUCUGUUAUUAGGGAAGAACAAAUGUGUAAGUAACUAUGCACGUCUUGACGGUACCUAAUCAGAAAGCCACGGCUAACUACGUG